rnacentral:pre_miRNA from 1 species
AGGAGGAACAACCGCAGUGGCUGCUCUGGAAACCUGGAUUCAGCCCCCGAAGUAACUCCGGAGCUCUCCCUCUGCACGGCCUGGAGGCUCCGAGGGCUG